rnacentral:rRNA from 1 species
AUUGAACGCUGGCGGAAUGCUUUACACAUGCAAGUCGAACGAUGAAGUCUAGCUUGCUAGACGGAUUAGUGGCGAACGGGUGAGUAAUAUAUCGGAACGUAUCCAUUAAUGGGGGAUAACUAGUCGAAAGAUUGGCUAAUACCGCAUACGUCCUACGGGAGAAAGCUGGGGAUCGUAAGACCUGGCGUUAAUGGAGCGGCCGAUAUCUGAUUAGCUAGUUGGUUAGGUAAAGGCUCACCAAGGCGACGAUCCGUAGCUGGUCUGAGAGGACGACCAGCCACACUGGGACUGAGACACGGCCCAGACUCCUACGGGAGGCAGCAGUGGGGAAUUUUGGACAAUGGGGGAAACCCUGAUCCAGCCAUGCCGCGUGAGUGAAGAAGGCCUUCGGGUUGUAAAGCUCUUUCGCAAGGAAAGAAAACCUAUCCGCUAAUACCGGGUGGGGAUGACGGUACCUUGAUAAGAAGCACCGGCUAACUACGUGCCAGCCGCCGCAGUAAAAC